AUACGGAGGAUCCGAGCGUUAUCCGGAUUUAUUGGGUUUAAAGGGUGCGUAGGCGGCCUUUUAAGUCAGCGGUGAAAGUCUGUGGCUCGACCAUAGAAUUGCCGUUGAAACUGGGAGGCUUGAGUAUGUUUGAGGCAGGCGGAAUGCGUGGGGUAGGGGUGAAAUGCUUAGAUAUCACGCAGAACCCCGAUUGCGAAGGCAGCCUGCCAAGCCAUGACUGACGCUGAUGCACGAAAGCGUGGGGAUCAAACAGGAUUAGAUACCCUGGUAGUCCACGCAGUAAACGAUGAUCACUAGCUGUUUGCGAUACAGUGUAAGCGGCACAGCGAAAGCGUUAAGUGAUCCACCUGGGGAGUACGCCGGCAACGGUGAAACUCAAAUGAAUUGGCGGGG
rnacentral:rRNA from 1 species